ACUAUUAAUGUAAGCUGAAGAGUGGAAGUAUAUAGAGACGGAAUCGGUUCAUUGUUGAUAUUUGCAAGCAUGAAAAGCUUUUUGCACCAAAGGUAUUAUUACUAAAAGUAGAAUUUGUCCUUUUAUGUUUUUGACUGAAUGAUUUAUAGUAUUGAUGCAAAUAUAUUAACUUUUUGGAAAUUUUUUUGUAGGUUAUUAUACUGAUUUUUGCAAGAUUGCUCAAUUAAAAAAGUAACCAGUUCCAAUGGGAUAUGAGGUACUACUUAUCUUAUUAUUUUUUUACACUUAUGUGUUUAAACUGAGUAAACAAGUUUGGAAAGAACAACACCCGCUUGUACUGGAGCAUGGAAGCACCGCUCAACUUGACCCUCCUAUUUUAAGGUAAAAAUAUUUUAUCGUUCUAUUAAUUUUUAAAUUUAAUAUUUGAUAUAAUUAACAAAAAUACAGAAAAAGAAGAGUGGAUGUAAGAGAUUUAUUGGAUUUUGAAUUUGGAGGUUGAAG
rnacentral:lncRNA from 1 species